rnacentral:rRNA from 1 species
GACGUAGGGCGCGAGCGUUGUCCGGAUUUAUUGGGCGUAAAGAGCUCGUAGGCGGCUUGUCGCGUCGUCCGUGAAAACCUGCGGCUCAACUGCAGGCUGGCGGUCGAUACGGGCAGGCUGGAGUUCGGUAGGGGAGACUGGAAUUCCUGGUGUAGCGGUGAAAUGCGCAGAUAUCAGGAGGAACACCGGUGGCGAAGGCGGGUCUCUGGGCCGAUAUUGACGCUGAGGAGCGAAAAGCGUGGGGGAGCGAAACAGG